ACUCCGCUGGGCUCUUGGCAGCACCCUGUGCUCUGAGGGUGUCUUGCCCGCCGGGCGCCGUGGCUCACGCCUGUAAUCCCAACACUUUGGGAGGCUGAGGCGGGCGGAUCACUUGAGGUCAAGAGUUCAAGACCAGCCUGGCCAACAUGAUUCUACUCUAAAAGUCACCAGGAAAAAUUCAGCUCCACUGGUCCUGGCUCUAAGUCUACUAGCAAAAUCUUCCAGAGAAGUGGAAAAGCCAUCAGCCAAUGUGUUAGACUAUCAUUUCCAUGACCUUACACCUAUCAAAAAGGCACUAUUACCAGGCUUAUAGAAUUCUAAAAAAGUUGGAAACCAUUUUCCAUUAUAAAAGAAAUUCUUCCAAAUCACACAAAACACUCUGACACUUCUCCAAUUCCCCCUAUCAUGGGGCUGGCAGCAGCCGCUUUGCGUCCUGAAUGUCAUGACAGUGAUGAUAACAGUAAUGAUGAUAACAGCAAUGAUGAAGUCUCACAUUUAAAAUUUUCAAGUCACUCAUCACAUCCCAAGUCACUCCCUUCAUUACCUUUUAUUUAUACUGGAGUCAUCCUGUGUGCCUCAGUCAGACCAUUUUGUAUGUACAAUGACCGACAAUGAGAUUUAACAUGCAGUUUGCAGAUCCUCCCUUCUCUGGGUCACCUGAAAAUAAGCCACAAACAAAGGAAUGAAAUUGUUGAUGAAAAGGGAAGAGGCAAGACUCCAUAUGAAGAAUACAACUGACUCACCUGUCUGUACAUGCCUCUGUGUGUGUGUUUUAUAUUGGUGCUGGUGAAGAUAGUUCUUUAUGCUGAUGCUUAAUAAGGUGAAAUGUGUCUAUUUUCUUCCAUUGGCCCAGGCACAGAUGCGAUUAUAAUUGCUAAGAUUAUUUGCAUAUUGGCUUUUAAUGAUGCAUUUAAAAAUAUUCAUCCCAUUUACUGACUUAUGCAGGCAAUGUACUUUUGUAAAUGUGGGCCAGCAUCAUGCUUAAAUUCCCAAACCACUAUUUAUUUAAAACUCAUCACUUCAGUUUUUAUACCCUUUCUCCCCCAUAAGGGAAAAAAUAUGAUUCUGACUGUAUAAGCACCAACUAAACAGAACACAAAACAUGGCAGACGAUAAAAACAUAUUUUCACAAAUGAGACAUGUCAUUUUACCAUCGAGGAGAGAAACAAAAUAAGCUGGUUUUCAAGUUCCAUAUCUUGUGUGCUCCUUUCAGCUAAAUGCCCUUACAUCUGUAAGCCCUUGGGACAGGUUAAGGCUUUUAUUAUUAUUUUAAAGUCUUCAUAACUACAACCUAGCAUCCAAAGUGAAACAGAUGCUAUUGGAUAUGAGUAGCAUAUGCAAUGGAAAUAUUGACAUUGCCUUCCCGACAGUCAUGAGGGAUAGACCAUAGGCUUUUUGGUAACCUAUAUUUUCUAGGCCCAAAGCAGGGAAUGAGAUGGCAGGGAAAUUCAGGGUAAACUCCAAAUUUACAUAAAGUUAUAGAAGAAUAUAGAUCAUGAGUAGUGGCUAGCACCUUCCUGACUUCCAGAAAAUGGUGGUGCCGAUAUUGAACAACAGUUUGGAGAAAAUGUAAAAUGUUUACAUUUACAUUUACAGUUUAGUCUUUGAACAACAGUUUGGAGAAAAUGUAAAAUGAAAAUUUGUUAACGAACUUGUUUUUAAAAAGCACCUAGACUCCAUAUAAGAGUACUUGUCCUAUGUUAUUUUCAUAAACUACAUUUGUGAUUGU
rnacentral:lncRNA from 1 species